rnacentral:rRNA from 1 species
AGCGAACGCUGGCGGCAGGCUUAACACAUGCAAGUCGAGCGCCCCGCAAGGGGAGCGGCAGACGGGUGAGUAACACGUGGGAACGUGCCUUUUGGUUCGGAACAACCCAGGGAAACUUGGGCUAAUACCGGAUAAGCCCUUACGGGGAAAGAUUUAUCGCCAAAAGAUCGGCCCGCGUCUGAUUAGCUAGUUGGUGGGGUAAUGGCCCACCAAGGCUACGAUCAGUAGCUGGUCUGAGAGGAUGAUCAGCCACAUUGGGACUGAGACACGGCCCAAACUCCUACGGGAGGCAGCAGUGGGGAAUCUUGGACAAUGGGCGCAAGCCUGAUCCAGCCAUGCCGCGUGAGUGAUAAAGGCCUUAGGGUUGUAAAGCUCUUUCAGUGGGGAAGAUAAUGACGGUACCCACAGAAGAAGCCCCGGCUAACUUCGUGCCAGCCGCCGCAGUAA